UACGUAGGGUGCAAGCGUUAUCCGGAAUCACUGGGCGUAAAGCGUGCGUAGGUGGCGUGUUAAGUGUGAUGUUAAAUCGUGUGGCUCAACCAUAUCGAUGUGUCGCAUACUGGCAUGCUAGAGGACAGCAGAGGCAAGUGGAAUUGGUAGUGUAGCAGUGAAAUGCGUAGAUAUUACCAGGAACACCAAUGGCGAAGGCAGCUUGCUGGCUACUCCUGACACUGAGGUACGAAAGCGUGGGGAGCGAACAGG
rnacentral:rRNA from 1 species